ACCUGAUUCCAUUCCGAACUCAGAAGUGAAACGAAACAGCGUCGAUGGUAGUGUGGGGUCUCCCCAUGUGAGAGUAGAACAUCGCCAGGC
rnacentral:rRNA from 1 species